rnacentral:rRNA from 1 species
GCGAACGCUGGCGGCAGGCUUAACCCAUGCAAGUCGAGCGGGCAUCCUUGUGGUGUCAGCGGCAGACGGGUGAGUAACGCGUGGGAACGUGCCCUUCGGUUCGGAAUAACUCAGGGAAACUUGAGCUAAUACCGGAUACGUGCGAGAGCAGAAAGGUUUAUCUGCCGAAGGAUCGGCCCGCGUCUGAUUAGCUAGUUGGUGAGGUUAUGGCUCACCAAGGCGACGAUCAGUAGCUGGUCUGAGAGGAUGAUCAGCCACACUGGGACUGAGACACGGCCCAGACUCCUACGGGAGGCAGCAGUGGGGAAUAUUGGACAAUGGGGGCAACCCUGAUCCAGCCAUGCCGCGUGAGUGAUGACGGCCUUAGGGUUGUAAAGCUCUUUUCUCCGGGACGAUAAUGACGGUACCGGAGGAAUAAGCCCCGGCUAACUUCGUG